CUGCAAAGACCACAAUUUACCCUAGCUCGCGCUACUGUGCAGCAGAUCUCUCGCCCCGCUCCUACCAGCUCGGAGCAGACGAAGAAAGAGGGGAGCCUGGAGUCGGAGCGCGAUUGAGGAGGAAAGCGCUCGCAGCUCGAUCGGGAGGUUAUUGUAGAAGCUGGAUGGUACGAGAGUUGAAUGGGGAUAUUUUGCAGUAGCUAGUGGAAAUAUAUCUUAUAUAUUAGUGCAAAUGCUGGAUCUACAAUCAAGUAAAGUGCAAUAGUGAUGAUUGGAAAUAUUAGCAAAAAAAGUUGGGGCUUGCUUGUCUGAACUAUUCGAAGACGAUGAGAUACUUUUGAUAAUCUGUUCUAUGCUGCCCUUCAGAUGCUUGAUUAUCAAUAAGGUUAUUGCACACGCUGGAUGGUACGAGAGUUGAAUGGGGAUACACUUUUGCAGCAGCUGGUGGAAACAUAUCUUAUAUGUUAGUGCAAAUGCUGGAUCUACAAUCAAGUAAAGUGCAAUAGUGAUGAUUGGUAAAAUGUUUAAUCCUCAAUGAGAUCUUCCUAAUCUAUUUUGGAGUUUAAUUCAUAUAACAAGUCGUCGAUGUUGGAGCUUCCUUCAAACAGGCACCCCAUGUUGCCCUCGAAGGCGGCAUCAUUGAACCACUCACUCAGAUCCAUCGAGUUGCUGAUAUUAGUCCCCAAAAUAGAGUCCAAUUCAUAAUCCAUGCAAGGGCUCCAGAGGUUCUCCUCGAU